AGGAUCAGAUCCUGCCUGGGUCAGAGGCCAAGGCUGUCCUUGCGAUUUCUGGAUAAGGAAAGCCAGAAGAUACAAGUUCAUGUGAGGUGUAGGGGAUCAUCAGACAGGAGAAGGACCAUGGAGGAGAGGCUGUGGUGAACGGCCCCACACAGGGGAGUUCAAGCUGUGUGUUUUGAAGGUGAUCUCAGGGGAGGUUCUGUAGACACGAGUUUUGAGUUUGUGAAUUGUAAGGCCGUUUGUGGAAGCACAUACCGCCUGUUAUCAUAGAUGAAGUGAAUGCGUUGCUGCUCAUGUCCAAGGGCCACUUGCCACUCGACCCCCUCAGGACCAGUGACUCUUGAACGCACCAGGCACAUUUUGAAGACAGGCAUUAAUGGAUAGUUUGCCUAAGAAUUGGUUUGGCAUUUAGAGGAAUACAAAAGAAGUGAAAAUCUCCUGGAUUAGAGUGACAAUGACGAGAUGAAUAUCCUCCAAUAUUCAGAGGGGAACACAAGGCGUUAUUUGGGAUUGUUUAUCAUUUAAUCUAGAAGUGUAGACGAAGAGCUACAGUCAUUAUGGAACUUUCCAGGAGCUCUGAACCUAGAGAAAUGUGUGUGC
ensembl:lncRNA